AGCGAACGCUGGCGGCAGGCCUAACACAUGCAAGUCGAACGAACUCUUCGGAGUUAGUGGCGGACGGGAGAGUAACACGUGGGAACGUGCCUUUAGGCUCGGAAUAACUCAGGGAAACUUGUGCUAAUACCGAAUGUGCCCUUCGGGGGAAAGAUUUAUCGCCUUUAGAGCGGCCCGCGUCUGAUUAGCUAGUUGGUGAGGUAAAGGCUCACCAAGGCGACGAUCAGUAGCUGGUCUGAGAGGAUGAUCAGCCACAUUGGGACUGAGACACGGCCCAAACUCCUACGGGAGGCAGCAGUGGGGAAUCUUGCGCAAUGGGCGAAAGCCUGACGCAGCCAUGCCGCGUGAAUGAUGAAGGUCUUAGGAUUGUAAAAUUCUUUCACCGGGGACGAUAAUGACGGUACCCGGAGAAGAAGCCCCGGCUAACUUCGUGCCAGCAGCCGCCGUAA
rnacentral:rRNA from 1 species